rnacentral:lncRNA from 1 species
GUUCUAAAGCUAAGGUGAAACUAUCAGAGAUUUGUCUUCUCUGAAUGGAAGCAGAUUGAGAGUCUGAAAUUAGGGAUGAAAUAUGUUUAGAUAGCCUUUUGGCAAGAACUUUCGUCAAGAUUUUCAUCACUCCAUUAACUAGGCUUAUUGGUCCAAAGUCCCUUACGAUUGUGCAAUUGUGCUUCUUCAGGAUCAAAACCAUGUAGGUACAGUU